UCACAGAAAUGUAGGACUGGAAGAGACCUUGAGAGAUCAUCUAGUCCAGUCCUCUGCACUCAUGGCAGGACUAAGUAUUAUCUAGACCAUCGCUGACAGGUGUUUGUCUAGCCUGCUCUUAAAAACGUCCAGUGACUGAGAUUGCACAACCUCCAUAGGCAAGUUAUUUCAAGUGCUUA